UCUCCCUGGAAAACGGGUGGUAAUGCCGGAUGCUCCAGUUGAUCGCAUGGUCUUCUGGGAAAGCUUUCGCGGUAUGGGAUGGGGUCGCGUCCUAUCAGCUUGACGGCGGGGUAACGGCCCACCGUGGCUUCGACGGGUAGCCGGCCUGAGAGGGCGACCGGCCACAUUGGGACUGAGAUACGGCCCAGACUCCUACGGGAGGCAGCAGUGGGGAAUAUUGCACAAUGGGCGCAAGCCUGAUGCAGCGACGCCGCGUGAGGGAUGGAGGCCUUCGGGUUGUAAACCUCUUUUAUCGGGGAGCAAGCGAGAGUGAGUUUACCCGUUGAAUAAGCACCGGCUAACUACGUGCCAGCAGCCGCGGUAAUACGUAGGGUGCAAGCGUUAUCCGGAAUUAUUGGGCGUAAAGGGCUCGUAGGCGGUUCGUCGCGUCCGGUGUGAAAGUCCAUCGCUUAACGGUGGAUCCGCGCCGGGUACGGGCGGGCUUGAGUGCGGUAGGGGAGACUGGAAUUCCCGGUGUAACGGUGGAAUGUGUAGAUAUCGG
rnacentral:rRNA from 1 species